rnacentral:snoRNA from 1 species
AUUUUUCCAUGAUGACUCCUAUUAGGACGGUAUCUGAAGGGAGCCUUUAAGUGCAUCCCUUCUGAUUAUACCAAAACUAAUAUGGUUCCUGAGCAAAUC